UAAAUUAUAUAUAUAUACGUUUAUUUUAUUUUAUUAUAUAUAUAGUGGGCCAAUUUAGCCCGGGGCGCAAUAAGACCAAACACCCAAAAACAAAAUAAAUAAAACCCCCAAAAAAUAUAUGUUAAACAGUCCAUUACAUAUUAAGCCCGAUAGACCCAAUUACAACCAAACCAGGCCCAAAUCCUAAACGGCCCAAUGGAGCCCAAAACUAAUUUUUUUUCAGAAACCCUAGGGUUCCUUCCCCUCCUCUCGCGCCGUUGCCCCCUUUCGGGUCACCCGAGGUGCCUCAUCCCGAGGUCUGCCUCUGUCCUCUGGUCUCUUGCACCAAAAUGGCAAGGUCACCUCCAUUGACCUUGCCUAGCCCUGCAAAACAAGACGAAGAGAAAGAAAAAAGGCAGAGAAAGAAACAGAAAAAGGUAGUAACAUGAAAACAAUGUAAUAUGGCUAUAAAAGCCAAACAAAUCAAUGUAAUAUGGAGGAAUACAUUUUCGGACAAUCGAAUACAAAGAAAACAAAAAAAAUCAAUCAAAAAAUCCAAAAGGUUUACAUCUAUUGAUUUUAGUUUUUGCUUUCGUUUUGUAGUCUGCUUUUAUUUUAUUUUAUUUGUUUUUUUUACAUACGAAAAUAAAAAAGGGAAGGAACUUACCUGUAUUCGAAUCUUCAACACCGAAGAAGGCUGAGGAAAUCACCUCCGAUGAUAGGCGGUCGGAAACUGAAGGGUUUCUUGAGCUUUUGGGACAUUUUUGUUAAUGCGUAGAAGUUUUUGAACUCAGAUUUGGGUUUAGGGGGUUUGAAAGGAUUAAACCAGUGAUUUUACCCUUUUUCGGCCACCGCAUACGGCGGCGCCGUUGCCGACGGCUGGCGGUCGACACGGUGGCCGGUGACCGAAAGUUGCCCGAACCUCUGGCUGGACUCACUGAGGAGAGAGGUGUUUUUGGAGAGAUUUCUUUUUUGUUUUUAGG
rnacentral:lncRNA from 1 species